rnacentral:rRNA from 1 species
UACAGAGACUGCAAGCGUUAUUCGGAUUCACUGGGCGUAAAGGGUGCGCAGGCGGCCGUGUGUGUGAGGCGUGAAAGCCCGAUGCUUAACAUCGGAAUUGCACCUCAAACUACACGGCUAGAGCAUUGGAGAGGGUAGCGGAAUUCACGGUGUAGCAGUGAAAUGCGUAGAUAUCGUGAGGAACACCAGAGGCGAAGGCGGCUACCUGGACAAUUGCUGACGCUCAGGGACGAAAGCGUGGGGAGCAAAAGGG